ensembl:ncRNA lncRNA:CR45431 long non-coding RNA:CR45431
ACUCGAUUCCACUCUUACCAUAACUUAUAGAAAUCCGGGUUGAUUUCCAUUACUUUUCACACGCCAUUAGCUGCUCUUGCUAUUUCGCGCUAUUUCAGUGUGAACCUCAAGCGGUCUCGGGCAACUAACCGACAACUCUUAAGCUGCCAGCAACCACAGCAACCGCUAUCCCCACCUCUUUCUGUCGGCAGGGUGCAAGUCAGGAUGCCACUUGAUCAUUAACAGCGAACCACGGAGUGCGUAGGGGCAGGAGCGCGCGGGAUGGCAAGCGCGGUAGCUGCACUGUUUAACAGCUUCGGGCAAUUGCAAACGUAAAUCAAAUGCCACAUUUCGCAGUGGCAGCAGCACACCUACAAAAGCCCCUCCACACUUAUUUUAUUUGUAAUUUUUAACAACUCGAAACUUGUGUAGGUUGAACUUGCACAAAAAACAUAUGUAGCAUAUCGCAUAUCGCCUUUCCGCGAACUUAGAAGAAUAAUACUCUUAGCCCUAACUGUCAUUGAAAUAUUUUUAUACCAGAUUUAAUACAG